UACGUAGGGUGCAAGCGUUGUCCGGAAUUAUUGGGCGUAAAGAGCUCGUAGGUGGUUUGUCGCGUUGUCCGUGAAAACUCACAGCUCAACUGUGGGCGUGCGGGCGAUACGGGCAGACUGGAGUACUGCAGGGGAGACUGGAAUUCCUGGUGUAGCGGUGGAAUGCGCAGAUAUCAGGAGGAACACCGGUGGCGAAGGCGGGUCUCUGGGCAGUAACUGACGCUGAGGAGCGAAAAGCGUGGGGAGCGAACAGG
rnacentral:rRNA from 1 species